AGCAGCCGCGGUAAUUCCAGCUCCAAUAGCGUAUAUUAAAGUUGUUGCAGUUAAAAAGCUCGUAGUUGAAUUUCGGGAUCAGCAGGUUGGUCUUGCCACUGGUAUGUACUAGCUUGCUGAUUCCUCCUUCUUGUAGAACCGUAAUGCCAUUAAUUUGGUGUUGCGGGGAAACAGGACUGUUACUUUGAAAAAAUUAGAGUGUUUAAAGCAAGCUAACGCUUGAAUACAUUAGCAUGGAAUAAUGAAAUAGGACGUUUGAUCCUAUUUUGUUGGUUUCUAGGAUUGACGUAAUGAUUAAUAGGGAUAGUUGGGGGCAUUAGUAUUCAAUUGUCAGAGGUGAAAUUCUUGGAUUUAUUGAAGACUAGCUACUGCGAAAGCAUUUGCCAAGGAUGUUUUCAUUAAUCAAGAACGAAAGUUAGGGGAUCGAAGACGAUCAGAUACCGUCGUAGUCUUAACCAUAAACUAUGCCGACUAGGGAUCGGAUGAUGUUAAUUUUUUAAUGACUCA
rnacentral:rRNA from 1 species